UACGUAGGGUGCGAGCGUUAAUCGGAAUUACUGGGCGUAAAGCGUGCGCAGGCGGUGGUGUACGACAGGUGUGAAAUCCCCGGGCUUAACCUGGGAACUGCAUUUGUGACUGCAUCGCUGGAGUGCGGCAGAGGGGGAUGGAAUUCCGCGUGUAGCAGUGAAAUGCGUAGAUAUGCGGAGGAACACCGAUGGCGAAGGCAAUCCCCUGGGCCUGCACUGACGCUCAUGCACGAAAGCGCGGGGAGCAAACAGG
rnacentral:rRNA from 1 species